UACAAAGAAGGAUGGGGAUCGCAGAAGUCACAUUUUGUGAGAUGGAGCCAGCCGCACUGGGUGCCUCCUGGUGAUGUCUAAAGUAGACUACACUUCCCAGCUUAACUUGAACCACGUGGAUGCUGUUAUUAAUUCAGGUCAAUGGCAUGUGAGCAGAACAGGUGCAUGUCAUUUCCAGACCUGGCCUCUAAAAUGUUCCAUGAGCCCUUUGGCUCCAAUGGUCCAAAGGAAGAAGCCUGGAUCCCUGAAUCACUGCUUAAAGAAAAGGGACUUCGAGAUGACCAGACCUGCAUGCCAGCCUCUAGCUUGAACACCCACCUUUGCUGCGCCUCGGGGCCUGCAGUCUGCGGUGCUCUUAGCCACAGAUGGCAACUAUUUUUAGGAGAGCCUGCUGAGAAGAAGAAUCAUGGAAAUGGGUAUCAAAUGCAAGAGUUCAUGAAGAGCACCCAGGCAAAAGAGCAAAGCAUGCUGCUUAGGCAACCUGAAGGCAAAUCAAAUCCUGCCUCAGGUCGGUGAGAAAAAUGCCAUCCAGUUUGGGCACAAUUAUGAACUAUUCUCCAGUGUGUUCAAUUUCAAAUCCAAACUAAUUAUUUAUUAAUGUGCUUGAAAAAAUAAACGUUAAGAAUCCCUCUAUUGUUGCAUUUAACAUGUAUUCCCGAAUAUUGAUGGAGCAUCUUCUGUGUCAGACACUGCUGGGGACACAGGAUACAGUGGGAAACAGACCCAUCCCGAGUCCAAAUUCACAGAGCUCCCAAACUGGAGAAAGACACUGAACCAACUAAUUCAUAAGUGAGUAGAUAAUUUCAAACUGUGAUAACACUCGAGGAAGCAAAAGGUGCUCUAAAGCCGGUAACAAGCGGGUGUACUUUGGUUUCAGUGAUCAACUAUUUGUGAGGGACCGGGCGCAGUGGCUCACAGCUGUAAUCCCAGCACUUUGGGAGGCCGAGGCAGGUGGAUCAUUUGAGGUCAGGAGUUCGAGACCAGCCUGGACAGCAUAGUGAAACCCCGUCUCUGCU
rnacentral:lncRNA from 10 species